rnacentral:misc_RNA from 1 species
AAAUGCGAUAAGUAGUGUGAAUUGCAGAAUUCAGUGAAUCAUCGAAUCUUUGAACGCACCUUGCGCCCCUUGGUAUUCCAUGGGGCAUGCCUGUUCGAGCGUCAUUUGUACCCUCAAGCUCUGCUUGGUGUUGGGUGUUUGUCCCGUCUCCGCGCGUGGACUCGCCCCAAAGUGAUUGGCAGCCGGCGUACUGGUCCCGGAGCGCAGCACAUGUCGCGCAAACGAGUGCCUUGGUACGGCGGCGUCCAUAAGCCCCUCUCUCACGCUCUUGACCUCGGAUCAGGUAGGGAUACCCGCUGAACUUAAGC